rnacentral:lncRNA from 1 species
GGACAAGGGCGAGGUGGCGCUGGUUAUAUCGGCUCGUCGACGGUGACCAAAAGAACGGCGGCAGCAGAAGCUAGCUCCGGCGGGCGAUUUCGGCAGCGUGGGCGCGAGAGAGGCGAAUGCGAGAGAGGGGAAAGGACGAGGGGGACGUUGGCUUUAUAGAGACGUGCAAGGAAAGCUGCGGGGUGCACGGGAAGGAAAGAAUCAGCGGCGAGGGUGCUCGCGGUCGUCACGCGGAGAUUCCGGCACUUGUCUUCCAGGGAAGACAAGCCUGACAGGCGGGUCCCGCCUGGGCUGCGGCUGCGGUCGGCGCGUGCGGGGAGGUGAGUUGGGCCGGUUCGGCCCAAGUCGGCCGGGCCUGUCCGUUUCUUCUUGUUUUUUGUUCUUUCCUUUUUUUUCUUUUUUCUUUUAUAAAUUUUGAUUUUGAACUCCAAAUCAAACCAAAUAAAUUCUAGAAAAUUUGUAAAAUCAAAUCCUCAAAUGCUUUAGCCGGUGGGACUUGAUUUCAUUCAAAAUAAAAUAUUCAAAAAUAGUUUUGCUUGUAAAUUUGUCUUUAGGGCUUUAUAACUAAUAAAUUAAAAUAGUUUUUCAACUCCAAUUUAAAUACUAAAAAUUAUGGGGUAGCUCAUUUAUGCAAUAAACCCCCUUUUAUGAUCAAAACCCUAUUGGGUUGAAAAUCCAAUUCGCAAAAGGGAGAUGAAAGUCAA